GAGAGGAAAGAACGAGCGAGCGGGGCGUGAGGCAUCGAAAACUCGCCUCCCCCUCCCGCAGCAACCCUAGCCGCCAUCUCCUCCUCCUCCCACCUCAGCCGCCUUCCCCUCCCUUAGGAACGCUAGCCGCCGUCUCCUCCUCCUCCUCCCACCUCAGCCGCCUCCCCCCUCCCCCUUACCCUCUCCCCCACCCCUCCUGCAUCGCUGCCUCUCCUCCUUCUCCUCCACCAGCGCCGCCUCUCCUCCUCUUCUUCGUACGGAUCUGACUGGAUCCUUCCGUGCGUGCGUCCGCUUCUCCUCGAACUGAAGCGUCAGAGGCAGGAGGUCAACAUCCGGGUUCAGCCCCGAUGAAUUUGGGCUUGGGCGCGCUGCUGCUGGAGGGAAGGCGGUCCGCCACUGCUCGUGCCUCCACAACAACCAUCUCUCCCCAUGACCUGUGCCCAAAUUGGAUCCACAACCUAGGACAUGCCCUAGCAAGGGGCUUGGAGAUGGCGCUGAGGAGGAAAAUGAGAUCCGGGCGUAAUCGAGUGUAUUGGCAGCAGCUAAGCGAUGUGGCUUUCUAUACGUAACCUUGCUUGUUUAGAUGACCUGGUUUGUCCUUGUGGUAAGAGAACUAGCAUCAAUUAGUGCAGACUUUGCUUUUUAUGCAAGAAUUUGUUAAGGUAAAUAUUCCAUAUUAUAUCCAUGAUUCUGAAGAAACAUUGUGCAACAAUUUCCUGUAAUAUAUAUCUUCGGAUGAAUUGGUAGUCACACACCCACGACACUUUACCUUUGAAGCCUGUAUAUAUUUGUGAGUGUACAAGCAUAAUUAGUUAUAGGGGAGAAAGAUGCUGCUCUUCUCUCGAAGACCACAAAGGUUCAUGCCCUUUGCCGAUUGAUUUUUCUUUAUUGUAUUGAUCAGCUUUGCCAAGUCAUUUGUGGUAUUUAGCAUUCUCAAAUUUUUAUAUUUAGCUAAAUUUAAUCUUGACCUGAUUUGCUCUGCCCAAUACACGCAUGAUGCCUUUUCUUUUCCAUCAACUGGAUGCAAGAUUAGUUUACCCUUUAGACUUUGUGUUAGAUUAGCCUUUCCUGUAUAUCUUUGAUGGAUCAACUGUGUUCGAUUGUAGGUACUGUAUAUACGUUCUUUGAUGGAUCAGCUGCGUUAGAUUGUAGAUACUGCUGAGAACAAAGUUGUAUUUGGAUAUGAUAUUAGUUUUACAAUCAUUUUUUUUGCUAAUUUUAAUCUGAUGCAAAAGAGUUCAGUAUAAUUAAAAUUUGGUUUCAUACAGAAGCUCCAUCAUUGGAAUCAGUAUACGUCUGCUGAUAAAUCCCUUUGUAUGAUCAUGCUUUUUAGGAAUUGAUAUUCCAAUCAAUCUGUUGAUGUGGUGUUUGUCGGAGGCGAAGGGUAGCGACGGUUUCAUUCUGAGAUCGUCUUCCUCGAGGUACAUUCAUGAGUCAGUGCGUCACUUCAGUUCACCUUACCACAAAUGCUUUGCGGGCUGCUCUCUCAUCUGAGAUUACUGCUACAACCAAACUUAGAAUCAUGCUAGGUAUGCAUAUUCGGAGUAUAAGAUUAUGAUGACAAGUUCUGAGAAUCCGAGCAUCUGAGGUGAGCUUCCCGGCGAUGGCGGCGACGCUCGUGGGCAUCGCGGCGCUUGGGGAUGCAGCAGAUCCCCACCAGGCCGUGCUGGCACUUGGGGUACUCCCCGACGACGACGGCCCAGCGGCGGAUGGUGCGAGGGAGGCCGGCCACCGCGACGAGUUCCUCUUCCUCUCUCCCCGAUCUAGCAAGAGCAGUAGGAGGCGGCGGGGAGGAUGAGCAAGGAGGCGGCGGGAGGAAGAGAGAUUCUUGGCGGCGCGCUUGCCUUAUUGGACAUGUUGUGCAGCUCACUGUUUUUUUCUCUUGCCAUCAUCUCCAAUAGUGUCGAGUCCCCUUCCCGGCGCCAAUUGCAACACAUAUCUCCUUUGACUGAUUAGCCAUUGUUUCCCGCA